GCACCCAUCGUCUAGUGGUCAAGGACGCCGCUUUCUCAGGGCGGAGACACCGGUUCGAAGCCGGUUGGGUGUACCA
rnacentral:tRNA from 1 species